CAGAGGAGGAGGUCUUCAGUUAUAACUCAGCCUUCAGCAAUUCAGUAAAAUCACCAUGUAAGUGUCCCUACCAGUUCAUGGCCUCAGCUGCAUCUGCUCCAGGAACUUGAAUGACUCUGGAAUCAUACAGCAAGAUUGCAAACCUCAACUCUACAGUUCACUAGCUGUGCCAUAUUGGACAAAUCCUCUGUGCCUCAAUCUUCUUUGCAGUAAAACAGGAAUACUGAUGGCAACAAUCACAUAUAAUUAUAGUGGUGAUUAAAUAAAUUGAUAAAUGUAAAGUUCUUGAAUUGCCUCUGGCACAUGGUAAGAUAUCAAUAAACAUUAGCUUUUAUCUUAGCCCAUAUCUCUAUAUUAAAAAAAC
rnacentral:lncRNA from 1 species